rnacentral:rRNA from 1 species
GACGAACGCUGGCGGCGUGCUUAACACAUGCAAGUCGAACGGAAAGGCCCUGCUUUUGUGGGGUGCUCGAGUGGCGAACGGGUGAGUAACACGUGAGUAACCUGCCCUUGACUUUGGGAUAACUUCAGGAAACUGGGGCUAAUACCGGAUAGGAGCUCCUGCUGCAUGGUGGGGGUUGGAAAGUUUCGGCGGUUGGGGAUGGACUCGCGGCUUAUCAGCUUGUUGGUGGGGUAGUGGCUUACCAAGGCUUUGACGGAUAGCCGGCCUGAGAGGGUGACCGGCCACAUUGGGACUGAGAUACGGACCAGACUCCUACGGGAGGCAGCAGUGGGGAAUAUUGCCCAAUGGGCGGAAGCCUGAUGCAGAGACGCCGCGGGCGGGAUGCCGGCCUUCGGGUUGUAAACCGCUUUCGCCUGUGACGAAGCGUGAGUGACGGUAAUGGGUAAAGAAGCACCGGCUAACUACGUG